rnacentral:rRNA from 1 species
CAGUCGCCACGGUAAAACGAAGGGGGCUAGCGUUGUUCGGAUUUACUGGGCGUAAAGGGCGCGUAGGCGGACUGAUAAGUCAGGGGUGAAAUCCCAAGGCUCAACCUUGGAACUGCCUUUGAUACUGUUUGUCUUGAGUUCGAGAGAGGUAAGUGGAACUGCGAGUGUAGAGGUGAAAUUCGUAGAUAUUCGCAAGAACACCAGUGGCGAAGGCGGCUUACUGGCUCGAAACUGACGCUGAGGCGCGAAAGCAUGGGGAGCAAACAGGAUUAGAUACCCCUGUAGUCCCUGUCUCUUAUAC